rfam:Chlamydomonas reinhardtii strain CC-503 cw92 mt+ CHLREscaffold_16 genomic scaffold, whole genome shotgun sequence.
GGGCUUUUAGCUCAGUGGUAGAGCGCGCGCUUUGCAUGCGUGAGGUCAUCGGUUCGAACCCGAUAUGGUCCA